rnacentral:rRNA from 1 species
CUCAGUAACACGUGGAUAACCUGCCCUUAGGAUUGGCAUAACACCGGGAAACUGGUGAUAAUACCGAAUAGACCAUUUAUGCUGGAAUGCUUUUUGGUUCAAAGGCUUCGGCUGCCUAAGGAUGGAUCUGCGGCCUAUCAGGUAGUAGUGGGUGUAAUGUACCUACUAGCCUACGACGGGUACGGGUUGUGAGAACAAGAGCCCGGAGAUGGAUUCUGAGACAUAAAUCCAGACCCUACGGGGUGCAGCAGGCGCGAAAUCUUUACAAUGCGGGAAACCGCGAUAAGGGGACACUGAGUGCCAGCAUAUUAUGUUGGCUGUCCACAUGUCUAAAAACCAUGUGUUAGCAAGGGCCGGGCAAGACCGGUGCCAGCCGCCGCGGUAACACCGGCGGCCCGAGUGGUGAUCACUUUUAUUGGGUCUAAAGGGUCCGUAGCCGGUUUAAUCAGUCUUCUGGGAAAUCUGACAGCUCAACUGUUAGGCUUUCAGGGGAUACUGUUAAGCUUGGGACCGGGAGAGGUAAGAGGUACUACAGGGGUAGGAGUGAAAUCUUGUAAUCCCUGUGGGACCGCCGGUGGCGAAGGCGUCUUACCAGAACGGGUCCGACGGUGAGGGACGAAAGCUGGGGGCACGAACCGGAUUAGAUACCCGGGUAGUCCCAGCCGUAAACGAUGUUCGCUAAGUGUCAGGGACGGUGCGACCGUUUCUGGUGCCGUAGGGAAGCCGUGAAGCGAACCACCUGGGAAGUACGGCCGCAAGGCUGAAACUAAAG